GAGAGUGGCGUGUCGCGUCGUGUCGCGGACCGGCUUGACCUUCUCAAGAGGGCGGCCAAAAGGGCGGGAAAAAUGAGGCCCAUGGUGUGUCUAUUGAGCUGCCCGCACGGCGCUCCAUCGCCGGCGCGACCCCGGAGGAAUUUUCUGUGGCGAUUCACGUGCUGUGGACACGGGCUGUGCGCUCAGCGGCGCCGCGGGCGGUGGCGUUUGUGGCGGGCGCUGACAGGCUUGAGCAUAGACGCCUCUCUUUGCCGAGGGCUUCUCGCGGCCGCCAUCUUGAGAGUGGCGUGUCGCGUCGUGUCGCGGACCGGCUUGACCUUCUCAAGAGGGCGGCCAAAAGGGCGGGAAAAUCCAGGUUAGCCGAGAAUAGCCGAGUGUAGCCGAAGAGCCGACGAUAGCCGAGUUUUGCCGACAAUAGCCGGGUGUAGCCGAAGAGCCGACGAUAGCCGAGUUUUGCCGACAAUAGCCGGGUGUUGCCGAACAGCCGACGAUAGCCGAGUUCAGCCGAAGUGCCGAAACAAGCCCAGCUUAGACCAACAGCCGAACCAAACCGCCGCUGCACGUACGUGUUUUAAUCGCGUAACCGGGCGGACUCGGGAAAGCCGACAGCCGGAGUAGAUUUCUGUUUGGUCUGUGUCUGUCAGGAGCGGGCUGUGUGCUGGACAGGGAGAGACGCUGUCGGAGCGUGGCGACAGCGCCAGCUGUGAGCUCUGAGGAUGAUGAGGGCUCCGAGCAGCCCCAGCCCUGAGCUGCGAGGAUGAGGAGGGGGCGGCUCCUGCCGGGAGGAGGCUGUUUUAGGGGGGAAGGGGUUGCCUGAGCUCCCUUUUGCCUGGAGCUGCUGAGCAGAGGGGUUUAUGGGGGGCUCCCGGCGCUGUCUCGUGGAAGGACGCCGAGAGCUUCUCCGAGGGUCUGGGGGAACACCUGGAUACGCCCUUGGAUGCGUGGAGCAUCGCUCAAAGGAGGUGCCGAGGAACAAAGCUCCGUGCCGGGAAGCAGCAGCCGAACAGCCGUGACCAAGGGACCACAGCCCGGUGACUGCGGGACAUUGCCAGCGAGAGAGGCGGCCUUCCUUUGCAGCGGACGUGGAUUCUCAUCCCAGGAUGCUCGAGAGAUAAGUCGAGGGCUGUGCCACGCUGAGGGGAUGGCAGCGAGGUGCUGGGAGGGCCUUUUGAGUAGUUUCUUGGGAGGCAGGGAUGUGCAGGAGAUGGCCCCUUAGGCCACAUGGAGGAGAAGUCUCACAGUGCUGAGGUGCUCAGGGCAGAGCGGUCCCGGUGCCUGUCACUUGUGUCACUUGUCUGUCGUGCCUUCUGUGUCUUUUGGAUGUCUCGUGUCUUGUGCCUUAGUCCUUUGAGGGGCUUAUGGUUUGUCCUGUUCUGUGUCACGGGUGUCUGGGUGUUUGGGCCGAUGCCGCUCUGCCCUGCUGCAAAGCCUGGUGUAGGUAUCAUAGGAGAAGUCCUGGGGGCCUGGACAUUUGUAAUGCAGGGUGUAGGUGGGCUCGGGAUGGGAUUUGUAGAUUGACGCUAGACGUCUGGAGCUCCUGUGUUACCCUGCAGCACUCUGACUUUUGUGCUAACGUUCUUUCAGGUGCAGCCAGCUGAAUUCCGUGGCAGAGGGGCCCGUGCCGGGUGAGUGGGUUGCCCCAGGCAGGAAGUCAAGCCGGGUAUCAGCAGGCAAGGUGUUCCAGUGGUAUUACGCCGAGACCCCCUCAGCAACUGGCCAACGGACCCGGUUCGUCGCUCUCGUGGGAACUUGGGAAGUAGCACAGGGCUCUGUGCUGAAGCCUUGACCUUUUCCAUUUGAAAGUGUCGCCUGGGGAGCCUGCUGGAAGGACUAAGGAGUUGCUGCAGGCCCUGCGACAACGGCGUCGGCCUCCGAGGGCGGCCGCAGCGUGCGGGCCGAGGAGCCGGGCGUCCUUAGGAGAAUGCUGUGACCAAGGGACCACAGCCCGGUGACAGCAGGAAAUUGCCAGCGAGAGAGGCGGCCUUCCUUUGCAGCGGACGUGGAUUCUUAUCCAGGAUGCUCGAGAGAUAAGUCGAGGGCUGUACCACGCUGAGGGGAUGGAAGCGAGGUGCUGGGAGGGCCUUUUGAGUAGCUUCUUGGGAGGCAGGGAUGUGCAGGAGAUGGCCCCUUAGGCCACAUGGAGGAGAAGUCUCAGCGUGCUGAGGUGCUCAGGGCAGAGCAGUCCCGGUGCCUGUCACUUGUGUCACUUGUCUGUCGUGCCUUCUGUGUCUUUUGGAUGUCUCAUGUCACGUGUCUUGUGCCUUAGUCCUUUGAGGGGCUUAUGGUUUGUCCUGUUCUGUGUCACGGGUGUCUGGGUGUUUGGUCCGAUGCCGCUCUGCCCGCCUGCAAAGCCUGGUGUAGGUAUCAUAGGAGAAGUCCUGGGGGCCUGGAAAUUUGUAAUACAGGGUGUAGGUGAGCUCUGGAUGGGAUUUGUAGAUUGACGCUAGAUGUCUGGAGCUCCUGUGGUAUCCUGCAGCACUCUGACUUUUGUGCUAACAUUCUUUCAGAUGCAGCCAGCUGAAAUCUGUGGCAGAGGGACCUGUGCCGAGUGAGUGGGCUCUGCAGAGCAGGAAGUCAAGCCGGGUAUCAGCAGGCAAGGCGUUCCAGUGGUAUUACGCCGAGACCCCCUCAGCAACUGGCCAACGGACCCGGUUCAUGGCUUUUGUGGGAAUUGAUCUUGAGGAGUAAAUUUCUGUUCAAGUGAUUUUUUUUUUUUUAAUCUAUUAUUAUGUUGUGUCUUAGUCCUGUUAAUUGUUUUGAAUUUUAUUUUUGAUACUUUGAGGCAACUUCUUUGUGGUUUUCUGUUUUUUUGUUUGGUUUUUUUUGUAGCUAAUAUUAUACAAGUUUUUUUUUUCUAAUGAUGUUAGUAAUUUUAAUUAUUGUGGCUUAACUGUAAUUUGGGUAAGGGUGUAUAAAUUGUAGUUUAAGAGUUUGUGAUAUAUAGGAUUUAUUGAUUUACAAUUUAAAGUUUGCGAGGGAUAACGUUAGGUGUUAAGAGGUAUACUAGCAAUGUAUGUAGAAAAUGUAUUUUUAGGAUUGGUGACUGAUGAACACUGUAUUUGGAUGCAUGGUUUUAGUUAGGGUUGCUUAUGUGUUUUGUUUUGGUUGUGGAACUAUUUAUGUAGGGUUUUUUUGGUGUAUUUUAAAUAAGUUUUGACACAGUGAGCAGCAAUCUCGUGUAUUUAUUUUUUGUGGAAACAGGUAUAACUUUUUCUUCAGGUUAUGAAAUUUACAGGAUUACUUUAUUGAUUACUUACUAAAUAUUGUUCUCGAGUAGGUUUUCGUAACUCUGAUUUUGAAAUCAAAGAAAAAUGAGUGGAAAAAGAUGAGGUAGAGCAGUUUUCUCCUUAUGGGAUAUAAAGGGUUUAACACAGAA